CAAACUCACAGCCACCUUACGAACUCCUAUAAAUAACCCGACACCCUCAACCAUUUCGAUCACACCUACCACACUUCCCUCCCUUGGCCGGAAACCGCCGCUGAACCGCCGCUGAGUACGCCGGAGAACCGCCGGAGAAGACGACUCAGUUCCGGGUAAUUCUCUUGUGCACAUCCUCUUUGGAAAAUCCUUGAUUCUUAAUUCUAUUCCAAGAAAUACGCAACGCACUCUAAGGUUGAAUGAUCAAGAAAACAAGAAUCAAGCUAGGAUGGACAUUAGAAACCCACUUAGCAUUUUGAUUAUUGUUAAAUGUUAUGUUUAUUUAUUUGGAACUAUGUAUCCCAUUUUGAGAG